rnacentral:rRNA from 1 species
CCUACGGGAGGCAGCAGUAGGGAAUCUUCGGCAAUGGGGGCAACCCUGACCGAGCAACGCCGCGUGAGUGAAGAAGGUUUUCGGAUCGUAAAGCUCUGUUGUAAGAGAAGAACGUGUGUGAGAGUGGAAAGUUCACACAGUGACGGUAACUUACCAGAAAGGGACGGCUAACUACGUGCCAGCAGCCGCGGUAAUACGUAGGUCCC